rnacentral:misc_RNA from 1 species
CACCACCAUUGACUCUUCCCUUGCUUCUCUCUCCUCUGCUUUGGCCCCGAAUUCGGCGGGUUAUUACUCACCUUCUGGCCUUCGCUUUCACUCCUUUUCUCACUGGAACUUGCUGUGGAAUCACUAUCUUCACAAUUAGCUAAAAUUCUAUACUCUCUAAUCUUCUUGUUCCUUAAAAACCUUCCUCCCCAAACACUGGACCCUCCUCCGCCUCCUUGCAGUAGUGGUUUGGAAGAAACUACCGGAUGGAACGACGUCGGAUUAGGAAUAAAACGAUGCGAACAAUGAUGGAGAAAAACCCUAGACCGGCAACGGAAGAAGCAUAAGCCAUGGGAAUAAGGAAGAUUAGAGGUGGAAUUAGGUUGAAAUUUCGUGUGCGUUAUUGGCCUUCGAGUUUCAAUCAUCGAUGACAUGAUCUCUUUCACAAAACCCUAUAUAACCAAGAAACAAAAAAUCAAAUGUUACGCUUAUUUAUAUUUUAUUCUCUGCGAAAGAACAGAGACGCCGUGAAGGAGACGAUCGCCGUGGAUUAUCCGCCGCCGGAUUGAAAGAAAAUGGGCUGAUAUGAUACAGUCUAG